GCGACUGUGGCCCGAAUAGACUACGAAUCUGAGGAUCGGACGUUCGAAUCGUUCCGGGCGCGCCA
rnacentral:tRNA from 1 species